AAUACCAACCCUGCCAGUCGACACAACCGUCUGUAUGACAGCGCGUCACGUAUCGGAUGGCAAUGAACGCUGUCAGGGCAGAUGAGAUGACUAAACAGAUUGAGGACAAAGCGGAUCGAAAAGUGAAGUACAAUCUACGAAGAUCACGUUAUCUGUUACUUAAAAGCUAUAUUUUACGCUAAAGUUAUUUUCUUAAUUACUAUUGUUACAUGCAAGUGAAUUCUCAGAAUCUAUAUAUACAACUCUAACCUAUUUCGUACGGAGAAGCUGGGCGAAAUCUAGACUUGAUUGAUUAAUUCUAUGAGGACUGAAUAGUAAAACAGUGUGUGCAGGAAGCUAGUGCCGGAACGAGAGUAAAAGACACACAUACAUGCACUAA